rnacentral:sRNA from 1 species
GCUACUGGCGCCGGGUCGGUCCGGGUAGGCGCAGCGGGACUGGACCUGGGUGCCGAGCGGAGCCGCUGCCAUGGGCCUGGGCGUCAGCGCUGAGCAGCCCGCAGGCGGCGCCGAGGGCUUCCACCUCCACGGGGUGCAGGAGAACUCCCCAGCCCAGCAGGCAGGCCUGGAGCCCUACUUUGACUUCAUCAUCACCAUUGGGCACUCGAGGCUGAACAAGGAGAAUGACACCCUGAAGGCACUACUGAAAGCCAAUGUGGAGAAGCCCGUGAAGCUGGAGGUGUUCAAUAUGAAGACCAUGAGGGUGCGCGAGGUGGAGGUGGUGCCCAGCAACAUGUGGGGCGGCCAGGGCCUACUGGGUGCCAGCGUGCGCUUCUGCAGCUUCCGCAGGGCCAGUGAGCAGGUGUGGCAUGUGCUGGUGAGUGUGGGGUAUGGCAGGGCAGGGUGUGUCGGCAGGAUGAGUUUACUGGGGCAGGUCUGGGUGUGGGCGGGGUGUGA